AUGCUGACCAUCCAUCCUCUACUGCCCUGGGCCCAUACACUGUGCAAGCUCACGGGCAGACUCUCCGGGGCAGGAGAGACAGAUGGUAAAGGAGGGGGCGCACCACGGGCUGGCCUGCGCACCCGGGACUGGCCUUCUGGAAUCUCGUGGCUUUCUCAGAGGCAGCCCUGCUCAGCCCCGCUGGGAGGGAAGACGCAUCUGGCGCCUGCCUGGUGGUCUCCUCCGCAGCCUGGGUACAGGGUUCAGCCUCACGGAGGGCUCAGGUCCGGGCUGGGAGGAGCAGCGAGCCCUUGCUUUCCUCAGCAGGGCUUGGGAACCUGCACGCUCCUCACUGCCAUCAAACACGACGCGCUUUCCCAAACUGGACGACUAGAAUCGAAGUCUCCUGCUGUGUUAUAUCCAGCCCCCACCACCCACCCUCAGCUCUGGUCUUAGAACUAUGUGAGGAGCUAAAAAAAAACAAAAAAAAAGGAGGAGGAGGAGGAGGAAAAGUAUAUGAGGAGGGUGUUACAGUCAGGGGUGGGUAUCGAUGAAAAUUUAUGUGCUGAAAAACAGCUGUGAAAUGUUUAAUGUUUCAAUGAACGUUUUAUGUUUAUAAUAAAAAAGAAAAAAAAUCCUCUGGCCAAGAAGGCCCUUAAAAUGUUUCAUUUCUAAGUAGAUCCAAGAAAAAGAGGCAAAGGGAAAAGAUUUCCACCAAACCUUCUCUGGGGAGGGACCCCCCUCCAAAAGGGAACAUGGAAAGGAGGCGCCCCCAUAUCAUGCAUUGCCACACCUGGCUUGGCUGCACGUGAGCAGGGAGGAAAGGCCAGGACACCCAGGCAUGAGAAGCAUGCUCGUUUUUCUCAAAGCCAAGUACCGUGGAGCAAAGCCUUGGAGACUCAGGCUCUGCAAGUGGGUGGUGGAGGGACUUGGGGGGCGGGAAAUGCCCAGUUCAGCCAAAGCUGGCUAGGAAAUCUGACUGCAAUCCAUCAAUCCCCUGACAGGACAUGACCGAGUGCCAUUAGGGCGGGUUCUUCCAGAAGAGCCUAGCUCUGAGGACCCUGGCUUUGAUGGAGAGACACAGGUUCAAGUCCAAACGCUGCUCUGGACCGGCUUGGUCUCCUUAGGUGAGCUCUUCAGCCCCUUGAGAUCCUGGUUUCCUGAUCAACAGAGUGGCAACAAGCACCUCGGGUGCUGGGGGUUGGGUGGUAUGCGCUGCGAGCAGGCAGGUGUUUGGGACACCAGCGUGGGGAGGGAAUUGGACAGCGGCAAGCUGUGAGCACUGUGGCGGCAGUGGGUAAGAAUUAAGUCUGGACGUGGCGGGAAACUGCGGGCUGUUAAGGCUUUGAGAAAAACGUGAGUUUUGUUCUUCUUUGCUUAACUGAUGAUUUUGGUCAAAUGGGCUUUCAAGGUCAAGAAGCCCGCUUCACCUUUUAGCUCCUUAGGAAUUCCUGUUUCCACUUUGUCUUCGGGUACUAGACGCAGGCUGGAGCCCACAGCCGCUCUCCAAGCUGGCCCCUUCUUGCCUCCUCUGCACGCAACGCUCGUGCAGCCGCUCCAACACAUCAAUAAAAUCCCGCGACCCUGCGCAGCACCUCGGACACACCCUGCGGCGCCGAGACUGAGUUUUGCUGUUGUUGUUCCGUCUCUAAGUUGCGUCCGCCUCUCGGCCCUGGGGACUGCAGCACGCCUGGGUCCCCUGUGUUCCACUGUCUCGUGGUGUUUGCUCCAAUUUGCGUCCACGGCGUCGGUGAUGCUAUCUAACCAUUUAAAGCCGUGAGCUUUAGAAUUCCUCUUUCCUUCCACUUCCCCAUACCGCUUCUCCAUUUAGCAAACUCCUACUCAGACCUCAAAGCCCAGCUGAAGCAUCACCUUCUCCUCGGUGUCAGAUGCCCCUGGCACAGUGCUCUGAAAGCACACACAGCUCUUCCAGGCCCCGAUGCCCAUCAUGUUGCCUCAGAAACACUGGGUGCUCUUCUGAUUUCUCUUCUAAACAAUGCUUCUUGAGGGUAGUGGAGACGUAAACACCUUGGUAACCCUGGUGUGUAGGCCAGGGGUGACGUGGGGUAGAUUCCCCUGGAAGAACUUGCUGGUGAAUGGAGAAACGGAUGGUGGAAAACACCACUUCCUUUCUGUCAUGACAGGAGAUGGGACUUCUGGCCUCCUUCUCAACUCGCCACCUUGCCCUCAGAGAGAGGAAGGCACCUGUGCCAUCCUGGGCAGGAAGCGUGGCUCUCCUCUGCCAGCCUGCACCUUGCCCUGGGAAUAGGAAAGAACUGGGGGUUGACUUGCCAUGUAGCUUAGCAAAGAAGUUGCUGAGACCACUGUGGUACUGAUGCUCAAGGGCCUCCUCCAGGGAGGAAGGCGGUGCUCCAGGGAGGAAGGCGGGUGCUCCAGGGAGGAAGGCGGUGCUCCAGGGAGGAAAGAUGCUCCCUUCAGGGGUUGGAUCAGUGUACUUCCUGCUCAAGUACAGCUGUGGGCAGUAUGUGUUGGGGGUGGCGAUCAUGCUCGGGAGAUACUAGUGAGGUCCCUCCCAUCCUCCCAGAGGCCUGGACCCUCUCUGGACGCCCAGGAAGUGGCCAGUGCCCAACUGGAUGCUGCUGCCCAGCUCUUACCAGGAACCACGACAGUCACAUCAAUGGGUACUGACUGGACAAUUUCCAAUGAAUCCCCACAGAGUUUCGCAAGAACGCCAGCUACCAAAGAGGUGAAGGGUGGAAACUCACACAACCGACCAAAGUGAAAACAAAACUGCGUCCCCCAACCCCAUGUGAACCGAAACCACAGCACAGGGUGCUGUGCCUGUGCAGACACAAACAGCCUAACCCCGCGUGAGUCACCGCUGCAGCCAGAACAACGCGAGCGGGGGAGGGCCCGGCGCGAGGGAGCCCUGCCCAGCAUGUGAGGGGCCCUCUGAGCCCCCACCCCCUGCAGGCCCGUCUCCACUGGAAGAGCAGGGAAGAGGACACUCGUGGGGCACCUGCCACAGUCCGUAAGCUCUGGCCAGUACUGGGGACGCAAACAUGGACGGGUUUUUACAAGCACCCUGUUAUCUGGAGACAAACCAUUAGGCCCGUAUCCACACGAGGGCACAGAGCCCAGGGUGUUUAAACAACUGGACCAGCCAGAGCUGGAAACUGCAUCCUUCCCUCCACCAGGCUUCACCUGAGGUCACGCCGGAAACCUGGAUCAGUCAUACAGGUGGGAGUGUUUCCUCUCAGUGGUCUCCAGGCUGCUUUGAUCAUGCACCACUAGCAGUACAAUUAAAUUCUGGACAUACCCCCAAGAACUGUACAUUCAUAUAUGGGAUAAGAUUGAAAAAACGUAAACAGAAGCUGCAGUGUUUUCCCCCCAUAGCUUACUGUGGCGGCCAUAGGGCUCCCAGACUGAAAAACACAGGCUGGGGACUUCCCUCGUGGCCUGGUGGUUAAGACUCUGCUUUUCUACUGCACGGGGUGUGAGUCUGAUUUCUGGUUGGGGACCUAAGAUCCCUGCAUUCCACAUGAGCAAAAGGAAAAGAAAAACAAAACAACAGGUUGCCCAGUUACAUGUGAGAUACAGUUUCAAUUUAGAAAAAAAAUCAGUCAUUGUUUCUCUGAGAUUCUGGUUUAGAUGGGCAUCCUGUAUUUGUAUUUGCUAAAUUCGGCAACCCUAA
rnacentral:lncRNA from 1 species